UACGUAGGGGGCGAGCGUUGUCCGGAAUCAUUGGGCGUAAAGCGCGUGUAGGCGGCCCGGUAAGUCCGCUGUGAAAGUCCAGGGCUCAACCCUGGGAUGCCGGUGGAUACUGUCGGGCUCGAGUCCGGAAGAGGCGAGUGGAAUUCCUGGUGUAGCGGUGAAAUGCGCAGAUAUCAGGAGGAACACCAAUGGCGAAGGCAGCUCGCUGGGACGUGACUGACGCUGAGACGCGAAAGCGUGGGGAGCAAAAAGG
rnacentral:rRNA from 1 species